GAUGAACGCUGGCGGUGUGCCUAACACAUGCAAGUCGAACGGUUAAACCGGCUUCGGCCGGAAAUAAAGUGGCGAACGGGUGAGUAACGCGUGACCGACCUUCCCCCCGCACCGGGACAACCGCGGGAAACCGCGGCUGAUACCGGGUACUCCGGGGCCCCCGCAUGGGGGCCCCGGGAAAGCUCCGGCGGCGGGGGAUGGGGUCGCGUCCCAUCAGGUAGUAGGCGGGGCAACGGCCCACCUAGCCGACGACGGGUAGCCGGGUUGAGAGACCGACCGGCCACAUUGGGACUGAGAUACGGCCCAGACUCCUACGGGAGGCAGCAGUGGGGAAUUUUGCGCAAUGGGGGCAACCCUGACGCAGCAACGCCGCGUGCGGGACGACGGCCUUCGGGUUGUAAACCGCUUUCAGCAGGGAAGAACCUAUGACGGUACCUGCAGAAGAAGC
rnacentral:rRNA from 1 species